CGGUAAUUCCAGCUCCAAUAGCGUAUAUUAAAGUUGUUGCAGUUAAAAAGCUCGUAGUUGAAUUUCGGGAUCAAUACGUCGGUCGUGCUUCGGUACGUACUGGCGUCAUUGAUUUCUCCCUUCUGACGAACCAUGAUGUCAUUAACUUGGUGUCAUGGGAAAUCAGGACUGUUACUUUGAAAAAAUUAGAGUGUUUAAAGCAGGCUCACGCUUGAAUACAUUAGCAUGGAAUAAUGAAAUAGGACGUUCGAUCCUAUUUUGUUGGUUUUUAGGAUCAACGUAAUGAUUAAUAGGGAUAGUUGGGGGCAUUAGUAUUCAAUUGUCAGAGGUGAAAUUCUUGGAUUUAUUGAAGACUAACUACUGCGAAAGCAUUUGCCAAGGAUGUUUUCAUUAAUCAAGAACGAAAGUUAGGGGAUCGAGGACGAUCAGAUACCGUCGUAGUCUUAACCAUAAACUAUGCCGACUAGGGAUCGGAUGAUGUUAAUUUUUUAA
rnacentral:rRNA from 1 species